rnacentral:SRP_RNA from 1 species
GCUGGGCGUGGUGGCGCAUGCCUGUAAUCCCAGCUACUUGGGAGGCUGAGGCAGGAGAAUCGCUUGAACACAGGAGGCUGAGGUUGCAGUGAGCCAAGAUCGUGCCACUGCACUCCAGCUCAAAAAAAAAAAAAAAAAGGAAUAAAUUACAUUACCGUUUAAGCCAACCAAUUCAGCACUUUUUCUGAUAUUUGCACAAGGCAUUCUUUUUUUUUUUUUUUUGAUACAGAACCUCGCUCUGUGGCCCAGGCUGGAGUGCAGUGGUGUGAUCUUGGCUCAGUGCAACCUCUGCCUCCUGGGUUCAAGUGUAUUUUU